rnacentral:tRNA from 1 species
CCGGGUGUAGUUCAGAUGCGGAGAACGCCGCGCUGGGAGCGCGGAGGUCGCUGGUUCAAGUCCAGCCACUCGGACCA